rnacentral:rRNA from 1 species
CCAAUAGCGUAUAUUAAAGUUGUUGCAGUUAAAAAGCUCGUAGUUGAAUUUCGGAAUCAAUUUGUUGGUCGUGCCUCGGUACGUACUGGUAUUAUUGGUUUCUACCUUCUGAAGAACCUUGAUGUCAUUAAUUUGGUGUCUUGGGGAAUCAGGACUGUUACUUUGAAAAAAUUAGAGUGUUUAAAGCAAGCAUACGCUUGAAUACAUUAGCAUGGAAUAA